CCUUGACUUACCUUCCGUCCCCUCCCCAGGCUCCAUUAGGUGUAAUUGUAACUUCUCUACAUGCAUCACCAUCUGUAUUAUACAUCCCUGACUUACCUUCCGUCCCCUCCCCAGGCUCCAUUAGGUGUAAUUGUAACUUCUCUGCAUGCAUCACUAUCUGUAUUGUACAUCCUUGACUUACCUUCCAUCCCCUCCCCAGGCUCCAUUAGGUGUAAUUGUAACUUCUCUACAUGCAACACUAUCUGUAUUGUACAUCCUUGACUUACCUUCCGUCCCCUCCCCAGGCUCCAUUAGGUGUAAUUGUAACUUCUCUACAUGCAUCACUAUCUGUAUUGUACACAUAUAAUCUCAAUGGUUUUCCUUCAUGGUUUUCUAUUAAGGUGAACAAAUCCUCUGUCUGAAAAGUAAGUAUGAACAAAGAUAAAAUUUGCUUAGGUCUAAGAAAAUGUAAAAAAUUGUCCAAAGCAUUUCUUGAUACUUUCAUUUUAGGAAUAACAGUACUGAAGUUGAAGAGUUGCAGCCAUCAAUUAGGGAAUUGAUGGUCACAAAUGCAGUUUUACUGGCGAGGAUAUUUGCGACCAUAAAAUCAAAGUUGAUCGCAUCAACUCUUUAACUACAGUACUGUUAUUCCUAUUCUAAUGCAUUACAAAAAGAAAUAAUACGUAAGAGCUUUUAAAAUGUAUAAAUUUAAGAUAAAAGAAAAUAUUGCAAAACUUUUUGAUUUUGGAUAAUAUCUCUGAAAUAAAUGGUGAUGCUGUAUUCUUGAUAUUCCAAACAAUAUUGUAAUAUAGGUUCUUAUUUUUGUACUUUCAGUGUCUUUAAAAAUUACUUUUGGCAAAGGGGUUAAAUUCUCACAUGAGAACAAUAAUUGCCUUCUCCACAUCAAUAAUUGUUGAUUUGUAC